AUUUCUGUUCUUUUCUCUUUUUAGGGCCACAACCGCGGCAAGUGGAAGUUCCCAGGCUCAGGGUGGAAUCUGAGCUACAGCUGCUAGCCUGUGCCACAGCCACAGUGGUGCCAGAUGGGAGCCAUCUGCAACCUACACCACAGCUCCUGGCAGCACUGGAUCCCUGACCCACUAAACGAGGCCAGGGAUCCAAACCACAUCCUCAUGGAUACUAGUCAGAUUCCUUUCCGCUGAGCCAUCUUGGGAAGUCCCCAGAAUUUAUUUUAUGGUUCUUAGGUGGACAAAAAGUGUUCUUAAUUCCUCUGUAAAUAUUUAGGGACAUUUUCCUAUGAUACCAUCUGUGUCUCAAGAAUAAUAUUUUAUUCCUUUUUUUUUUUUCAUCUUCUUGUCCUUUGUCUUAUUUAGGCCAGCACCUGUGGAAUAUGGAGAUUCCCAGGCUAGGGGUCGGAUUGGAGCUGUUGCUGCUGGUCUACACCACAGCCAUAGCAAUGCCAGAUCCGAGCCGAGUCUGCAACCUACACCGCAGCUCACGGCAAGGCCGGAUCCUUAACCCACUGAGUGACACCAGGGAUCACAACCGCAACCUUAUGAUUCCUAGUCAGAUUGCUUCCAUUGCGCCACGACCAGAACACCUCACUUUACUCUUGAUUUCAAAUUACUGGCAAGAAUUUGAAUUCGUUAAGAAUAUUCAAAUUAUUUCAUCUUAAGGUAUUUAGUCCAUGAUUUCUGCCUCUACAAUUCUUCAUAGUGUUUUCUUACUACAGUUUUGAUGUCUGCAGGUUCUGUAGUGAUGUCCUCUCUUUGAUACCUGAUACUGGACGUGUAUCAUGUUGCUUUUCUUUUUGCUCUAAAUCGGAAGACCUAGAAGUUUCUCAAUUUUAUUUUUCUUUUAAAAGAACCUGUGUUUUUUCUUUCAGUUACGUAUUCCAUUGUGUACCUCUUUCCAGUUUCAUUGGUUUUGCUUCUUUAUUUUUUCCCACCUUCUGCUUUAGCUUUCUUUUGCUCAUUCUGUGUCCUUUCUUGAGGCAGGAACAUACACGACUGGUUGGGACCUUUCCGUUAGUCCAGUGCCACCCCUGGGUCUCCUCCUGGGCCGCUAGGAGAGUGGACCUGCUGCCUGACCACUGUCUUCUUCCGCCAGUGCUCAGGUCUCCAGCUGCUCUGCCUCCUCUUCCUCCUCAGAGCCCUCCUACACUCUUUCUAGGUUGUUUCUGGGGUUCCUGUUUGACCAAAGAAGGAGAACAGGAAAACCAAGUCCAUUCCCUCUUAUCUGGGGGCUACUUGAACUUGCUGUGUCAUCUUCCAUCUCCUGCUUUGGCUGGUACUGUGGGUGCUUCCAGGUGGCUGACCUGGCAUGCCUGCUAGUGUAUUAAGGCUGGAAAUGGUUUUCUGGGAGUCUAGGUUGGUAGAUUGGAGCAACGGGCAAGAUGCCUAUGGGACAGUGCUGCCCGGGACCCACAGCCUGCCCCAGGCACCUGAGGGCAACAGCCACAGCUGUCCUGGGUCCAGUGAGUCUAGCAUGAGGAUGCACAUCUUUUUGUUCCUUUUGAUGGGAUUGGGAGGUUUGACACCAUGUCCAGCUUAAGGGAUCUCGCUUCUCCCAGCACAGCAUCAUCGAAUAUGUUAAUGGAGUUUCGGCUUGCUUGCUUGCUUGGUGGUUUUGACAGUGGUUUUGAAAGAUUCUGAAUCCUCUAGGUUUGUAGUUCUUUUGUCUUUCAGGAACCCAAAUCCCUCUCCCAUACUUUUCCUUUUCCCUUCACCACGCAAUUGCCAAACUGCUCUUCUUCCUUUGUUUUUGCCUUUUCUACCCAGGAGUCACACACGUUACAUCCUGACUGCCUGCUGAGUGACAUGUGUCCUCCUUGAAUGAGGUUCUUAUUGCCACUAAGAACUUACCAGGUGGAGUGAUCUAAUACAAGACCACGGCACUGUCCUACACUUGUAGAGGACAGAAGCCUACAGGGGGUGGCCGGGCUGUGAUCCUUCUGAAGGUUGUAGAGGAGAAUCCCUUUCCUUGUCCUUGCCAGCUUCCAGAGGUCCGACAGUCCUUGGCAAAGGGCCCCACACCCCUGAUCACUGGUUUUCCCAUCUCCCCUCCUUCUCUGACUCUCUUGCCUCCCUCUUUUACUUCAAAGAAUCUUUGGAAUCAGAUGGCCUCACUCCGAAAACCUGAGCUAAUGUGCUCCUUUCAAAAGCCUUAACGCAGUCACUAGUAUUCAUCCUUGUUGACAUGUAAGGGGACUCUGCCAACUCUUUUCAAUCAGGGCGACUUUGAAUCCCCAUCCUGUGAGGUCUGCUCUUCUCUACAGGAGACUUUUCAGUUUUCUCCAAUUUAGGGUGGAUUUAUCAUUGGUGAUGGUAUUUCUCAAUACCUUUUGUGUUCCUUUGCUGCUACCCUUGUCUGUUUCUCGGGCACUUCUCCUGGUGGCUGGAAGAGGGUGGGAUGGCAGCUUGGUGACAGCUUAUCCAUCAGAAUUUGGAUGAUUUUUCUCUUGACUCACAGCUAUUUUCAGUUCUGGCAUUUGCUCUUCAAGUAAUAGGACCCCUGCAGCCUGAGACAGGAGUGGGUGAGAAGGAGGGACCUCCAUACCCUGAUGUCUGAUCCACUUAUUGCUCAGGACAGGAUCAGGUUCAAAGCCUCAGCGUGUUGAUGGGCCCAGGUCGCCUCAGAUGGUGUAAGUGGAGUCCCCUGGGAAUGGCUCCUGUGGGGCUUCUCUAAUGUGUCCUCCUGUCUUCUCAUUUCCAGACCAAAAGAUAGCUUGUCCUCUCCUAGUAACUCUUGUCCUAGUGCUGAAGGCCCUGCAGCUGGUGGGUGUCUCUGUCAUCUUUGUCCACAAGAAGUUUUGGACCUGACCCUCCUUCCUCACCCCCUUGCUGGUGUCACUCUCCAUCUCGCCUGCCUCAUUCUCGCCUGAGGGGCCCAGCCCAGGAGAAGGACCCAGCUGGAAGCUGCCAUGACUCUACUCCAAAUUCCUCGCCUCCACGGAGACCUGCCUGUACAUAUGCUCCAGGAGCAGCCAGAGCUGCGUCUUCAUGCAUGGUCACAAGCAGGGAUCAUGGUCGGGUAGCUCAGGGGACCAAUUCACGAUGUCUACCUGGAAUGUGAGAAAUAAGGCCAAUCAACACAGAUCAAUGGCUCUCCUCCAUGGCCUUGGACAUGGCCAGGACCUACACAUCAUGUCCCUCCUCAAAGGAGUUUUUCUGUCUUGUGGGUUCCUGCCUUCAGCCAACUCCCUACCCUUUGAUGUGCUCCUUUACAUCUUGAGAACACAUGGGUCCCCAUCCUGACUUUAGGAAGAAAAGUGGUUCUCCUGCCUUUUUUAUCUUCCCUUUUUAUGGCCACCCCUCUGCCACAUGGAUGUUCCCAGGCUAGGGGUUCAAUGGGAGCUGCCACUUCAGGCCUGUGCCACAGCUAUGGCAAUGACAAUCCAAGCCACAUCUUCAACCUAUGCUGCAGCUUAUGGCAACAUCACAUCCUUACUCACUGAGCAAGGCCAGGGAUCAAACCCACAUCCUCGCAGAUACUCUGUUAUGUUCUGAACCCACUGAGCCACACCAGGAGCUCGUCUGCUUUCUUUGUGCCCUAAUGUCCUAACCCUCAAACCCAGAAACUCUUACCCCCUCCUCUCUUUGCCAUGGGAACGCUCGUUCUCCUAUCAUCUUGCAUCUCUUCCACUUCUGUGACUCAUGGUAAAUACACUGUGUCCAGAAG
rnacentral:lncRNA from 1 species